GGGCCCGCACAAGCGGUGGAUGAUGUGGUUUAAUUCGAUGCAACGCGAAAAACCUUACCUACCCUUGACAUGCCAGGAACGCUGCAGAAAUGUGGCGGUGCCCGAAAGGGAACCUGGACACAGGUGCUGCAUGGCUGUCGUCAGCUCGUGUCGUGAGAUGUUGGGUUAAGUCCCGCAACGAGCGCAACCCUUGCCAUUAGUUGCUACAUUCAGUUGAGCACUCUAAUGGGACUGCCGGUGACAAACCGGAGGAAGGUGGGGAUGACGUCAAGUCCUCAUGGCCCUUAUGGGUAGGGCUACACACGUCAUACAAUGGCGCGUACAGAGGGUUGCCAACCCGUGAGGGGGAGCCAAUCCCAGAAAGCGCGUCGUAGUCCGGAUUGAAGUCUGCAACUCGACUUCAUGAAGUCGGAAUCGCUAGUAAUCGCGGAUCAGCAUGUCGCGGUGAAUACGUUCCCGGGCCUU
rnacentral:rRNA from 1 species